UGGGGAAUAUUGCACAAUGGGCGCAAGCCUGAUGCAGCCAUGCCGCGUGUAUGAAGAAGGCCUUCGGGUUGUAAAGUACUUUCAGCGGGGAGGAAGGGAGUAAAGUUAAUACCUUUGCUCAUUGACGUUACCCGCAGAAGAAGCACCGGCUAACUCCGUGCCAGCAGCGGCGGUAAUACGGAGGGUGCAAGCGUUAAUCGGAAUUACUGGGCGUAAAGCGCACGCAGGCGGUUUGUUAAGUCAGAUGUGAAAUCCUCGGGCUCAACCUGGGAACUGCAUCUGAUACUGGCAAGCUUGAGUCUCGUAGAGGGGGGUAGAAUUCCAGGUGUAGCGGUGAAAUGCGUAGAGAUCUGGAGGAAUACCGGUGGCGAAGGCGGCCCCCUGGACGAAGACUGACGCUCAGGUGCGAAAGCGUGGGGAGCAAACAGG
rnacentral:rRNA from 1 species